UAUGUAGGUGGCAAGCGUUUUCCGGAAUUAUUGGGCGUAAAGUGCGCGCAGGCGGUCUUUUAAGUCUGAUGUGAAAGCACCCGGCUCAACCGGGGAGGGUCAUUGGAAAGUGGGAGACUUGAGUACAGAAGAGGAGAGUGGAAUUCCACGUGUAGCGGUGAAAUGCGUAGAUAUGUGGAGGAACACCAGUGGCGAUGGCGACUCUCUGGUCUGUAACUGACGCUGAGGCGCGAAAGCGUGGGGAGCAAACAGG
rnacentral:misc_RNA from 1 species